UACAGAGGGUGCGAGCGUUAAUCGGAAUUACUGGGCGUAAAGGGCGCGCAGGCGGCGAUCUUUGUCAGGCGUGAAAGCCCCGGGCUUAACCUGGGAACUGCAUUUGUGACUGCAUGGCUGGAGUGCGGCAGAGGGGGAUGGAAUUCCGCGUGUAGCAGUGAAAUGCGUAGAUAUGCGGAGGAACACCGAUGGCGAAGGCAAUCCCCUGGGCCUGCACUGACGCUCAUGCACGAAAGCGUGGGGAGCAAACAGG
rnacentral:rRNA from 1 species